rnacentral:tRNA from 1 species
GCCGGUGUAUCUCAGUGGUUAGAGUGUCGGCCUGUGCACUGAAGGAUCAUGGGUUCGAUUCCCAGUCAAGGGCA